rnacentral:rRNA from 2 species
UUUGGAAGAGUUUGAUCCUGGCUCAGGACGAACGCUGGCGGCGUGCCUAAUACAUGCAAGUCGAACGCGUCUUGGUUAUUGAUGUUAAGUGCUUGCAUUUAACUGAUUUAACAUUGAGACGAGUGGCGAACUGGUGAGUAACACGUGGGUAACCUGCCCUUGAAGUAGGGGAUAACACUUGGAAACAGGUGCUAAUACCGUAUAACAACCAAAACCACCUGGUUUUGGUUUAAAAGAUGGCUUCGGCUAUCACUUUAGGAUGGACCCGCGGCGUAUUAGCUUGUUGGUAAGGUAACGGCCUACCAAGGCAAUGAUACGUAGCCGACCUGAGAGGGUAAUCGGCCACAUUGGGACUGAGACACGGCCCAAACUCCUACGGGAGGCAGCAGUAGGGAAUCUUCCACAAUGGACGAAAGUCUGAUGGAGCAACGCCGCGUGAGUGAUGAAGGGUUUCGGCUCGUAAAACUCUGUUGUUGGAGAAGAACAGGUGUGAGAGUAACUGUUCACAUCUUGACGGUAUCCAACCAGAAAGCCACGGCUA